GUUGAACGCUGGCGGCGUGCCUAAUACAUGCAAGUCGAGCGCACAGAUGAGGAGCUUGUUCUUCUGACGUUAGCGGCGGACGGGUGAGUAACACGUGGAUAACCUCCCUAUAAGACUGGGAUAACUUCGUGAAACCGGAGCUAAUACCGCAUAAUAUAUUGAACCGUAUGGCUCAAUAGUUAUAUACGGCUUUGCUGUUACUCAUAGAUUGAUCCGCGCCGCAUUAGCUAGUUGGUAUGGUAACGGCAUACCAAGGCAACGAUGCGUAGCCGACCUGAGCGGGUGAUCGGCCACGGUGGAUCUGAGACACGGUCCAGACUCCUAAGGGAGGCAGCAGUAGGGCAGCUGGCGCAAAUGGGGAAAGCUUGACGAAGCAACAGCGCGUGAGGGAUGAAGGUCUUCGGGUCGUAAAAGUCUGUUAAUGGGAAAACACAAAUGUGUAAGUAACUAUGCUCGUCUUGACGGAGCCUAAUAAGAAAGCCAGGGGUAACUACGU
rnacentral:rRNA from 1 species